UACAGGGGGUGCAAACGUUGCUCGGAAUCAUUGGGCGUAAAGCGCACGUAGGCGGUUCGUUAUGUCGGAUGUGAAAGCCCUUGGCUUAACCGAGGAAGUGCAUCCGAAACUGGCGAGCUAGAGUACGAAAGAGGAUCGCGGAAUUCCCGGUGUAGAGGUGAAAUUCGUAGAUAUCGGGAGGAACAUCGGUGGCGAAAGCGGCUCACUGGACCAUAACUGACGCUGAGGCACGAAAGCUAGGGGAGCAAACAGG
rnacentral:rRNA from 1 species